AGCGAACGCUGGCGGCAGGCCUAACACAUGCAAGUCGAACGGCAGCACAGUGCGUGCUUGCUCUUACGGGUGGCGAGCGGCGGACGGGUCAGGUAUGUAUCGGAAUCUUCAUUUUCGCGUGGGCUAAUGUAGGGAAACUUACGAUAAUAUAGCAUAUGACGCAGGGGGGUAAGCAGGGGAACUUUGGACCUUGUGGGGUUGAAUGAGCCGAUGACGGAUUAGCUAGUUGGCGGGGUAAUGGCCAACAAGGGCGACGAUAGGUAGCCGGUCGGAGGGGAUGAUCAGCCACACGGGAGCUGAGACAGGGUCCAGACUCCUGCGAGAGGCAACAGUCGGGAAUAUUAGGCAAUGGGGGCGAGCCUAAUACAGCCAUACGGCGUGUGUUACGAAAACGUUCCGGUUGUGAAGCCCUUUUGUUGGGAGAGAAAAGCAGCAGCUUAAUACGCCGCGUUUCUGACGGUACCCGGAGAAUAAGCACCGGCUAACUUCGUG
rnacentral:rRNA from 1 species